GGUUAUAGCUCAGUGGUAGAGUACCUGCCUUUUAUGCAUGAGGCCCUGCUUUGAUCCCCAGUACCA
rnacentral:tRNA from 1 species